GGCUAUGUAGUUUAUUUAAAAUGUAGGUUUUGUAAGCCUAAGAUGAUGUUUGUAUAUUUUUAGCCA
rnacentral:tRNA from 1 species